rnacentral:rRNA from 1 species
GACGAACGCUGGCGGCGUGCCUAGUACAUGCAAGUCGAGCGAAGUUUUUCUGGUUCUUGCACUAGAAAAACUUAGCGGCGAACGGGUGAGUAACACGUAAAGAACCUGCCUCAUAGACUGGGACAACUAUUGGAAACGAUAGCUAAUACCGGAUAACAGUAUUUCUCGCAUGAGAGAUAUUUAAAAGUUGGUUAUGCUAACACUAUGAGAUGGCUUUGCGGUGCAUUAGCUAGUUGGUGGGGUAAAGGCCCACCAAGGCGACGAUGCAUAGCCGACCUGAGAGGGUGAUCGGCCACACUGGGACUGAGACACGGCCCAGACUCCUACGGGAGGCAGCAGUAGGGAAUCUUCCGCAAUGGGCGAAAGCCUGACGGAGCAACGCCGCGUGAGUGAAGAAGGAUUUCGGUUCGUAAAGCUCUGUUGUUAGGGAAGAAUGGAUAUGUAGUAACUAUACAUGUAAGAGACGGUACCUAACCAGAAAGCCACGGCUAACUACGUG